UUUCUUAGUAAAUAAUCUGAUAACAUUGCUCUGAUUUUCUUGAUUCUCCAAAUUACCGAUCAAGACGUGUUAUUGCACCACAAUCAUUAGCCAGCACUGGGUUCUUUCUCUUUCUUUUUUAAUCUUUUCACCCUAAAAAAAAGUUCAUUUUCUUGAUGGAAAGAGUACAAUUAUCCAUAUUCCACACAUUUUAUUAGCUUAGAAAUUAAGUUAACCCGGUAAUAGAAUUUCCCAGCUCACCUUGGCAGUUUGUAAUGAGCCAUUUCAUUUCUUUCUGUCCUGAAUGAAGGCUGGCUGACUGCAUCAUAUACAAUGCUUCUGGUCAACAUUAGUUGACCCCACAGUUCACAGAUGUUUCAUAAUAGACUUUUCAUCAUUAUUGCUCUUGAUCAAGAAGAUUCUUUGACCUUUACUGGGCUCCUGGGCCUUCCUAGCAGCCCUUUCUAUUUCAAAGUAAUAAAACCUGAACAGUUUAAAUCUGCCUGGGGGGAGAUCGGGAUGGGAUGGCUGCUCUAGUGCCAGCUCUAUUGGCCGCCGUGUUCCUCUCCCCAUGAGCUAAAUAUGAUCAGUUGUGAGUAAUUAAAACUUUAUUUUGUUCUAAAAUCCUGAUUACUUAAAAGAAAUGUCAAGACUGAACCCAGAAUGAGUUUCCAAUUAACCAUAAAAUCAUAAGUGUUGGAGCUGGAAAGGACCAGAAAGUAUAGUAGUAAGAGCUGUGGCCUUGGGGCUUGCCGGUCCUGGCGCUUGUGUUGGCUGUAAGCAGCUCACUUCUUCUCCCCUCCUCAGUCUCCUUGUUUGUAAAGCUGGAGGGUGUCUCUACAUCAUCUAGCCCUCUUCCAUCAUUUCCAGACAGUGGAGGAUGAGAGCGGUGAACUGAUGGUGCCCAGAGUUCUUAAUCUAGUUAGUGGAAGAAAGAACUGAGAGUCUCUGGGCCUUGACUUCCAGCCAGUGUUCCGUCCCUAACUGUACCCAUACUGCCUCUCUUGAAAUGCCAACUUAGAGUGAAGGUUUCUUUCCUUUUUUUUUUUUUUUUUAAAGGGAGUAACAAAAUAUAUUUUCUAAGGAAAGUCAGUAAUGAACAAAUCAUUUCUAUUUGUUAUUUGCUGCCUAUUUAGAACAAUAAGGGUAAUGGAAUUUUGAGGUCCAUCAAUAUGUGCUGCAUGAACAGUAACAGUUCAUAAUUUGCCAAAUUUAGGGGUGUCACAUGCAGUACCAGGGGUCAGUUGGGGCUCUUGGCUGGGCAGCACCUGAAACAUCUGUCAGCAGAGAGAGGUCACUGAAACUUAACUUUGGGGAACCAUUUUUUAAAAUUAAUUACUCUUGAUGAACUAGAAUAAAGAUAUAUAUCCUGGUGGAUGUGCAUUGGGAGUAUCCCCAUUUAAACAGCAUAACUGAUAGUCCUAUUGAUUACUACAGCAUUAAUAUCAGACUCAGUGACUUUAAUAAUGGUCCCUAAAUGGAAGGGUUGUAUACUAGUAAAUCCUGUGUUAGCUUAUUCUUUUAAAAAAAAAAAAAAAAGUUUAUUAUUAUAUUGCAAAUACUGGUAAAGCACAUUAAAGGGCUGAUGUCAGAUAUUAAACCCCACUCUGUAGAACUGAUAGGAAAACUGCUGAUGUGUGAAUCCUAAAGGGGAUGUCAUUUUACUUUUUGGCAAGGAGGCUGCCUUGAGCCAGCACCCAUCUUGUGGGUCUGGAAAGAGUCUCCUUUUAUUGAUACGAUGGAGUUUUGUUUGAACUCCCCUACCCCGCUCUGAAGCUGUAGUCUGAUAGGUUUGUUUUGUUACCAAGCCAAGGUUGGGUGUUUAGAUGACAUGACAGGAUCCAUUUCAUUUCAGCCUUUUCUUGUAGGAAGAGUGCUAAUUGUGGAAUUCAGAGACUCGGGUUCAAGUUUCCCCUUGGCCUCUAGCAGUUUUUCCAGGAGCAGGUCCCUUUCCUGAUGGGGGGAUCUUAUUAGUCCAUCAUUCCAUAUCCCAUUCUCGGGAUAGAUGGGAGAUUGUUCUAUCCUCCAUCCCUACCCCACGUAACACCAGUGCUGUCUUGUAAAGACAAAAGGAAAAGAUUUAUUCUUACUAGUCUUUUUUCUCCAGUUGAUUACCACUGCAGAACAUUAUCCCCACCCCUCAAGGCCUGUUUCUGUGGAUAUCAACACAGAUCUCUUCUCACUGCUGGAUCUGUUUGUGUGGGAGGUCUGAUAGAUUUUUGUGUUGCCGUGUGUGUUUAGACAAUCUUCCUCUAUACCUGGAAAAAAAAGGUAUCUUGUAAGGAGUGUAGAGUGAAAGUCAAUGGGGGAAAUAUUCAAUGAUUUGUGAUUAUUGUGAAGAAGUGGGAGGUCCCAAAGUGAUGUACAUCUCUUCUUCUUGCAGCCCGACAGCGCGUAUCAAGGUGGAGUCUUCUUUCUCACUGUACAUUUCCCAACAGACUAUCCUUUUAAGCCACCAAAGGUAGAUGUGUAUUUCAAUGAAUGAUCCUUUUUCUCCCGUGUUGGAAAUUUUAAAUCUCCUUCAUUUUGUCAGCAACAGCAUGAGAGUCGACACACUUCAGUUUUAUUGCCUGGCUUCACUGGAAGCUAUGUCUGGUUUUGAUUUAUUGAUUCACUGGUCCCGGAAUGUAUUUAAGAAGCUUUGUGACUCUUGUGUUAUUGUAGUGGCAAGAACUCUGAAAUCUGGGAUAAGAUGCUGACUCUGAGAUUACUACUAGCUAUGUGGCCUUGGAUAAGUCAUCUUCCCUUUUUUUGGGGGGGGACGGGGGAGAGAUGAGGCAAUUGGGGUUUAAGUGACUUGGCCAGAGUCACACAGUUACUAAGUGUUAAGUGUCUGAAGUUGGAUUGGAACUGAUCUUCUUGACUCCAGGGCCAGUGUUCUGUUCAUUGUGGCAUCUAGCUGCCCCAAGCCAUUUAAAUUCUAAGCUUCAGUUCCUGAUUCUUGGGGCUGCUUACCUCAUAGAAUUGGUGCAAAUAGAGACAUGAGCUGUACUUUCUUAUUUGAUGUUUGUAUCAAUGGGGUGUUUGUGGAGGAUCUUUAAGCCAAUUACCUGACUUUAUAAGUCUUGAAUUGAUGAUGUAUAAUUAGAUUUAAUUUUGAUAAUGAUUUAUUAUUAAGACAAUGUGUAUUUGCAUAAUAUAUAAAUACAUUUAGGGCCAGGGAUUUCCCUCGUCUCACUUUGCCAUGAAUUUUGUCUUUUGACUUAGGUAAUCAUUGAAUCAUGAGUUCAUAUUUAAAGAGGGGUGAUGGGAAGAGUCCUUUUGGAUUUCACUGAAAGGGCUUUACUUCAGAACUGUGGAGGGAAGAGUUUCCACACUGGAAGUUUCCUAUCUCCACUCAGGAAAUCAGUUUCUGACUCCCUCUUCUUCAAACUCCAAGCCAAAGCUCUGGCCAUCAGCCUUUUUAGCUCCUAUUGUAUACACAGUUAAUAUUGAUCAGCUUAAGGCUUGGAGAAAUGGGAGAAGAAGAUGAAAAGAAGUAGAGAAAUGGGUGUUUAACAGCCUUUCCCUGGAUUACACUUAUUCUGAUCAGUACUUUGAGGUACCCCAUCCCUUCACUAAAUAUUUUUCUACUAAUAUUACUGGGAUUAAAAAAAAAAAAAAAAAGCUUAUCCCCAAGUGAGUUGAUUGGUACUUUGGUGUUCCUUGUUCAUGGUGGUAUUUUUUUUUUACUCACUAGGUUUUUAUUUUUCUUUAGAUUGCUUUCACAACAAAAAUCUACCACCCAAACAUAAAUAGCAAUGGAAGUAUUUGUCUUGACAUCCUGAGGUCACAGUGGUCACCAGCUCUGACUGUAUCAAAAGUUUUGUUGUCCAUAUGUUCACUACUUUGUGAUCCAAAUCCGGAUGACCCCUUAGUACCAGAUAUUGCACAAAUAUAUAAAUCAGACAAGGAAAAAUAUAACAGACAUGCGAGAGAAUGGACUCAGAAAUAUGCAAUGUAAAUUGGAAGCUUUUUUCCUAUAUCCCAGAGUACUGUAAAUUCUAGGUUUUUUCAAUAUUAGAAGUAAAUCGAGCACCGUUUACUGUUCCAGUGUACCCUGAAACCCUUUGAUUUUUACCCAUUUGAAAUGUGUUUCUGGAGCAAGACAAAACAAACUUCCAAAAAUAACCUUAAGACUGUGAUGAGAGUAUUUAUCCUUUUGUAUGCUUUGCAAAAGACAUUUAUUAUGGUUUUUAAGAUACUUGGACAUCUGCAUCUUCAGCCUACAAGAUCCACAGUGCAGUUGUAAAGCAACCAAAUUAUUUUUUGCUGAUACUAGAUGUUUUUACAUGAGAUACUGUAUGUGUUUGUCUAAGAUGUCGUCAGUUUUAUAAAUCUGUAUUCAGAUUUCAUUCUUUGUUAGCUCACUAUAUAAUUUGUAUUUUUUUACUGUAUAGACUAAAUAUAUUUUAUUUACCAUGUAAGUCAACUCAUUAGACGUUCUCUUCCUGUGCACAGUAUUGACAAAAUACAACUGCUAGUAAUGAAACGAAUGAACGCUUUGCCUCCUUCUCUUGCUUAGGAUAUUCCGUAGACUGAUUGCAGAUUCUUAAAACCUAACAUGAUCUUUUACACUGUAAUUCUCAGUAUGCUGAUUAUGGAGAAACACUUGUUUUGAUUUUGUUGCAUACUUGACUUAAUUUUAUUGCAAUGUGAACUAAUUGCACUGCUAAGUAGGAAGAUGUGUAACUUUUAUUUGUUGCUAUUCACAUUUGAUUUUUUUCGUACGUACGGGCAAUAUAAUAUUCUCACGGACCUUUUACAGAUCUUACUGUAGCUUUUUCCAUAUAAAUAAAAUGCUUUUUCUACUACUUGUCAUGCCUGUUUUUACAACAAGACUCAUUACUAGGUCUAUGAGAAAGGAUCUGAAUAUUGUAUAUAGUUUUGCAUGCAAAUUGUUGAUGAGGAGUACUCCAAAUUUUGAAAAUAAGGUCUGCCUUAUUCAGAGUUCAUGUAUUUAAUUUUCAUUUGUUAUUAUUACAUUUCCUGUAUAAAUCUUGUCUGACAUGAAAUUAGCAUCCCUUAACAGGAAAUCAUUGUACUAACAAAUAAUUCCUGUAACUCUUGCUGUAGAGCAGAAUUCAGAAUAUUGUGGGUCUGUCAUGAUCCUGGUGUUGAGGCGCUUUUGUUUGUUUAUCAAAGAACCAGAAGGAAUCUCUUAGGGAAGAUGAUUUCCCCGUUAUGGUAGGCCUGUGGGAUGGACCCUGAGGAUGGCACUUGUAGACAUGAGGCCUAGUUUAAUGAAUUAGUCAAAGCUAAUAUAUGUCUACAGGUGCAUGUUUUAAAAAUCAGUUUGUUCAGUAGGUCUAACUUUCAUUUUAUCCUCAAUAUUUAACAUAGAAUUACUAAUAUAGUAUUUUAGAAAUGGAUUCUCAAUUUUGAAUUAAAUCGAUUUUUUACUAUAGAAGUUUUAAGAAGACACUAAAAUCAUGCAUGUUUGAGUCUAUUUUUGUGAGUAGCUUGCUUCCGAGCCCCAAAUUGACUUGUGUCAAACUUGCAUUAUUGCAUAACGAAACCUUUGAAGAAAAGACAUUUUCUAAUCAUUUGACUUUACAAGCUAGUACCGACUUCCAUUUGUCUAGUGAGGGACGGUUUUGGAAGCCCUGCAUCAUGCUCUCAUUCGGUCCUCAUGAUGAAGCCCAUGAGGGGAAGCAGGCCGAGCGGGAGCGAACGCUCCCCUUGGACGGAGAUACUUGCACACGGUCACACAGGAAGGGAGUGAUAGAGCCAGAAUUUGAACCCGAGACUUCUGAUUCUAGGGCCAGUGCUAUUCCCCUACACCAAGGUGCUAUUAUUAUUAUUGUUAUUAUUAUUAUUAUUAUUAUUAUUGGUGUUGUUUUCUUUUUUCACCGCCUAUGUCUUUAACACCGUCAUUUUUCCUGUAGUAUUGCAGUGGUUCUCUAAAUGUACACCUCUUUGUGAUGGAUUUAUGACAAUAAUUUAAAUCGGUUGGCUAUCUUCUGGAUAGAAAGUUACAGCACAAAUAAGCUUAUGAAAAAAAUAGAGAUGUCAUGUGUUUUAUAAAUGUAUGUAAAAUAUUUAAAUGAAUUGUGAAAUGGAAACUUAAAAUGUGAUUGUUUAAAAAAAAAAAUCACCUCAUCCUUUGAGUAUUCAUGGUCGAGUCAUCUGAAAGAUACUUUAUAUUCUGGGCUACUUUCUCACUGAAUUUGAAAUGGGGUUGAGGUAGCUAGAACGAAGCUCUUGGUCUCACUGGGGUUGGAUAAUUAAUCUACUUUGGUAGUAAAAGACUUUGUUGGCUGGAAUAUCCUUAUAGCUUUUGUUUUGUGACAUUCAUUUAUGGAAGUAUCAUUUUUUUUCUUGCAU
rnacentral:lncRNA from 1 species